AUGGCGCUCAACAACAAUAAGAAGCCUCCUUCUUCCAAUGCAGGCAACACCAAUGACCUAUUAACGAUCAAGACGCCGGCGUACAAAAAGGACGAGGCAGCAUUGACGGCGGACGCGAUGCCAGCGAUGGUGGUAGGUUGUGAGAAGGUUGUAGCGGAGCGACAACUUGGUAUCAAGAGGGAGCUUCAAGCAUGGUUCAAGAGCAAUGAUGAGACAAGCUUUGGCAACGGAGAUUGGGUUCUUUGUGAGCAAAGAAGAAUUCCGCGGCUGGACUUGAGAAAAUCCGGACAGGUCAUUGGAUGGGCAAUCACACAAGGCAUGUUAGAGAUUCCGGAACGACGUGCUCGAUGGGCCUGGUUCGGCGAAACGAAAGUUAUGCAUGUCUUUGCUACUCGAUCAUUUCUGGAUGUCAUUUGUGGACGCUUAGUUCAUAGAAGUUUAAAAAAGGAAGGGCUAAAAAAAAGGCAAUGGAAGGUUGGGUGGCCAACCCUACUGCCAUGGACCCUGGCGGUAUGGUGGCCAACGCUACGGCAGAAAAUGUGGAUGAAUUGGUCACAGGACAGGCAGCAGAAGGCAGUAGGGUGGCCAAGCCUACCGCCAUGA
rnacentral:rRNA from 1 species